rnacentral:rRNA from 1 species
GGCUGGACACCUCCUU